GCGGCAGGCUUAACACAUGCAAGUUGAACGGCUUUUGAUUGUAGCUUGCUAUAAUUGAAGAGAGUAGCGCACUGGUGAGUAACACGUGGGAACAUACCUUGAAGUGGGGGACAACAGUUGGAAACGACUGCUAAUACCGCAUAAUCCCUGAGGGGGAAAGAUUUAUUGCUUUAAGAUUGGCCCGCGGAAGAUUAGGUAGUUGGUGGGGUAAAGGCCUACCAAGCCGACGAUCUAUAGCUGGUCUGAGAGGACGAACAGCCACAUUGGGACUGAGACACGGUCCAGACUCCUACGGGAGGCAGCAGUGAGGAAUAUUGGGCAAUGGAGGAAACUCUGACCCAGCCAUGCCGCGUGAGUGAAGAAGGUUUUCGAAUUGUAAAGCUCUUUCUGAUGUGAAGAUGAUGACGGUAGCAUCUAAAGAAGCCCCGGCAAACUUCGUGCCAGCAGCCGCGGUAAUACGAAGGGGGCAAGCGUUGUUCGGAAUUACUGGGCGUAAAGGGUGUGUAGGCGGAUAUAUAAGAUAGUGGUGAAAUACCUGAGCUCAACUUAGGAAUUGCCAUUAUAACUAUGUAUCUAGAGUGAUAGAGAGGAUAUUGGAAUACCCAGUGUAGAGGUGAAAUUUCGUAGAUAUUGGGUAGAACACCGGAGGCGAAGGGCGAGUUUCUGGCUAUCAACUGACGCUGAGGCACGAAAGCAUGGGGAUCAAACAGGAUUAGAUACCCCAGUAGUCCUGGCCGUAAACGAUGGAUACUAGGUGUUGCGGGUAUCGACCCCUGCAGUGCCGAAGCCAACGCGAUAAGUAUCCCGCCUGGGGAGUACGCACGCAAGUGUGAAACUCAAAGGAAUUGACGGGGACCCGCACAAGCGGUGGAACAUGUGGUUUAAUUCGAAGCAACGCGAAAAACCUUACCAGGGCUUGACAUCUGACGAACCUAAGUGAAAGCUUGGGGUGCUCUUCGGAGAGCGUCAAGACAGGUGGUGCACGGUUGUCGUCAGCUCGUGUCGUGAGAUGUUGGGUUAAGUCCCGCAACGAGCGCAACCCUCGUCGUCAGUUGCGUAUAUCGGUAUACUGAUAUAUAGCUCUCUGGCGAGACUGCCGGUGAUAAACCGGAGGAAGGUGGGGACGACGUCAAAUCAUCAUGCCCCUUAUGCUCUGGGCUACACACGUGUUACAAUGGCUGGUACAGCGAGUCGCGAACUUGUGAGAGUGAGCAAAUCUCAAAAAACCAGUCUCAGUUCGGAUUGCACUCUGCAACUCGAGUGCAUGAAGUCGGAAUCGCUAGUAAACGCAAAUCAGCACGCUGCGUUGAAUACGUUCCCGGGU
rnacentral:rRNA from 1 species